rnacentral:rRNA from 1 species
AGUGAACGCUGGCGGUAGGCCUAACACAUGCAAGUCGAACGGCAGCACAGUAAGAGCUUGCUCUUACGGGUGGCGAGUGGCGGACGGGUGAGGAAUACAUCGGAAUCUACUUUUUCGUGGGGGAUAACGUAGGGAAACUUACGCUAAUACCGCAUACGACCUACGGGUGAAAGCAGGGGAUCUUCGGACCUUGCGCGAUUGAAUGAGCCGAUGUCGGAUUAGCUAGUUGGCGGGGUAAAGGCCCACCAAGGCGACGAUCCGUAGCUGGUCUGCGAGGAUGAUCAGCCACACUGGAACUGAGACACGGUCCAGACUCCUACGGGAGGCAGCAGUGGGGAAUAUUGGGCAAUGGGCGCAAGCCUGAUCCAGCCAUACCGCGUGGGUGAAGAAGGCCUUCGGGUUGUAAAGCCCUUUUGUUGGGAAAGAAAAGCAGCAGGUUAAUACCCCGCUGUUCUGACGGUACCCAAAGAAUAAGCACCGGCUAACUUCGUG